rnacentral:rRNA from 1 species
AACGAACGCUGGCGGCGCGCUUAACACAUGCAAGUCGAACGAGAAGGCGUAGCAAUACGCUUGUACAGUGGCGAACGGGUGAGUAAUACGUGGGCGACCUACCCUCGAGUGGGGAAUAACCCGCCGAAAGGCGGGCUAAUGCCGCGUACGCUUCCAUCUUUAUGGAGGUGGAAGGAAAGCCGUGCCGUGGGCACGGCGCUCAAGGAUGGGCUCACGUCCUAUCAGCUUGUUGGAGGGUAACGGCCUACCAAGGCUCCGACGGGUAGCUGGUCUGAGAGGACGAUCAGCCACACUGGCACUGCGACACGGGCCAGACUCCUACGGGAGGCAGCAGUGAGGAAUAUUGCGCAAUGGGCGAAAGCCUGACGCAGCGACGCCGCGUGGGGGAUGAAGGUCUUCGGAUUGUAAACCCCUUUCGGGUAGGGAAGAUGGGACGGGCAACCGUUCGGACGGUACCUCCAGAAGCAGCCACGGCUAACUUCGUGCCAGCAGCAGCCGCCGUAAU